AUUGAACGCUGGCGGCAGGCCUAACACAUGCAAGUCGAACGAGUGGCGGACGGGUGAGUAAUGUAUGGGAAACUGCCUGAUGGAGGGGGAUAACUACUGGAAACGGUAGCUAAUACCGCCUAACAUAGGAUGUGCCCAGAUGGUAUUAGCUAGUAGGGGGGGUAAAGGCUCACCAAGGAGACGAUCCCUAGCUGGUCUGAGAGGAUGACCACCCACACUGGAACUGAGACACGGUCCAGAUUCCUACGGUAGGCAGCAGUGGGGAAUAUUGCACAAUGGGCGCAAGCCUGAUGCAGCCAUGCCGCGUGUAUGAAGAAGGCCUUCGGGUUGUAAAGUACUUUCAGCGGGGAGGCGUUACCCGCAGAAGAAGCACCGGCUAACUCCGUGCCAGCAGCCGCGGUAAUUC
rnacentral:rRNA from 1 species